rnacentral:rRNA from 1 species
GACGAACGCUGGCGGCGUGCCUAAUACAUGCAAGUCGAGCGCAGGAAGUCGACGGAACCCUUCGGGGGGAAGUUGAUGGAAUGAGCGGCGGACGGGUGAGUAACACGUAAAGAACCUGCCCUCAGGUCUGGGAUAACCACGAGAAAUCGGGGCUAAUACCGGAUGGGUCAUCGGACCGCAUGGUCCGAGGAUGAAAGGCGCUUCGGCGUCGCCUGGGGAUGGCUUUGCGGUGCAUUAGCUAGUUGGUGGGGUAAUGGCCCACCAAGGCGACGAUGCAUAGCCGACCUGAGAGGGUGAUAGGCCACACUGGGACUGAGACACGGCCCAGACUCCUACGGGAGGCAGCAGUAGGGAAUCUUCCACAAUGGACGAAAGUCUGAUGGAGCAACGCCGCGUGAACGAUGAAGGCCUUCGGGUCGUAAAGUUCUGUUGUAAGGGAAGAACAAGUGCCGCAGGCAAUGGCGGCACCUUGACGGUACCUUGCGAGAAAGCCACGGCUAACUACGUG